GUAAAACUGAGAGUUUCUCUGACUGUUAAGCUGGAAUGAAUUGUAACACUCAAGCUCCUUCAGACAGACAGGUGGAUGCAGCAGGUUUUUCUUGGCUUAGCUCACCCAUGGCUCAGGACAUGAAGGGACACUCGGUGCACCUGGGGGAUGGCCAAGAUGUGUCAUCCUACUGAGCUGUUUUGGGGAAAACGAGAUAAUUUCUCCAGAGCAGUUGUAGGAAGCCCCUCCUCACUGAGCUGUUGGGCAGUACCAUCCAUGAGCAUCCUUGAAUCCCUUCCCGGGUCACUCCUCCACAGAAGGAGUGGUGAGGCCAGCUGAGAUGAAAGGAGGGAUGUGGAAAAAGGGUACUGGUCACUUCCAUGUCCCUCUGGGAGGAGCACUAGGAUGCACCCUGGGGUUAGAAGGACACAAGGAAAGUGAA